GACCUUACGGAUGGAAGUGAAACUAGUUACCGGGAGAUUAAUCGUAUAAUUAUUAAAUUUUCCAGAAUUCCCAAUUGUUUUAUUUACUUUUGUUCAAUUAUAUAUAAAUGUUUUCAUGCGUACUAUGAAAAUCAUUACCAACGAAUAAUGAAAGAUAAUCUAUUACGAUGUCUAUUAGUUUCUAGUCACUUUCAUUGGUUUCUUAUCAAGUUCAAUUCAAUUUCUUAUUUGAAUUUGUCUGUGUUUAUCUUUCACGUUUCAAAUGGCAAUUUUUGGAGGACAUUUUUACAGGGAUAAAAAAAAGUUUUUCAAAAUAGUUCGUUAAUUUGAAUUUUUUCUGUUAGGUUAGAAUAUUUUGUACUAUUUCGAAAUUUCGAAAGUACUGGUUUAAUAAGCUAUUAAUUAUAAUUCCUACAGACUUAAAAAUUGCCUGUAAGUUUCGAAUUAUGAUUCUGUGGUAAAUGGGAACGAAUAUCUGGUAGAAGUAUGUACAAGCGUGAGAGGAGAGGAGAGAAGAGAAGAAGAAGCGUUAGCCUUUGUGAUUGACUUCGUCCGCAAGGUCCCGGUGAAAGUACUCCAAGCAA